GUGGGGAAUAUUGCGCAAUGGGCGGAAGCCUGACGCAGCGACGCCGCGUGGGGGAUGACGGCCUUCGGGUUGUAAACCUCUUUCGACUUCGACGAAGCCUUCGGGUGACGGUAGGGGUGGAAGAAGCACCGGCCAACUACGUGCCAGCAGCCGCGGUAACACGUAGGGUGCGAGCGUUGUCCGGAAUUAUUGGGCGUAAAGAGCUCGUAGGCGGUGUGUCACGUCGGCCGUGAAAACCUGCAGCUUAACUGUGGGCGUGCGGUCGAUACGGGCAUCACUGGAGUUCGGCAGGGGAGACUGGAAUUCCUGGUGUAGCGGUGAAAUGCGCAGAUAUCAGGAGGAACACCGGUGGCGAAGGCGGGUCUCUGGGCCGAUACUGACGCUGAGGAGCGAAAGCGUGGGGAGCGAACAGG
rnacentral:rRNA from 1 species